GAGACAUUGCAUAGUGAGAUUGGUGAAGUUACUUGUAGACUCUAAAUACCUUCACCAAAUCUCACUAGGCAAUAAAUAAACCAUCGAAAAUGAUGAUAAUUAUAGGGAACAAGGGUUACGUAUCCUUCACCAUUAAAAUACUCAAAACGUCUCUACAACACUAUCACAAACUACAAAAGACAAUACGAAACAAACUUAUGUGGAUAGUUUCACACAACAGUUCCAAACACACAGACAACACUUG